rnacentral:misc_RNA from 1 species
UUUCCGUAGGUGAACCUGAGGAAGGAUCAUCAUUGAAACUUCAUCCGAGGCGCCGCAGCCCUCAGCACCGGUGGAAACGCCGUGUUGUGUGGGCCGCGCGUGCACUCGCCCAGACCUAGCCCCAAUGAUCCUUACGGGAUGGCCUGGGUUAGCACCCGGAGCCGUUCCGCUAUAUACAAUCACUUAACAAAGAAUGAACUGAAGGAGGUCUGACCGCUGGAUAACAAGACUAAAACAACUUUCAACAACGGAUCUCUUGGCUCUC